CAUUCACGGAGAGUUUGAUCCUGGCUCAGGACGAACGCUGGCGGCGUGCUUAACACAUGCAAGUCGAACGAUGAACCACUUCGGUGGGGAUUAGUGGCGAACGGGUGAGUAACACGUGGGCAAUCUGCCCUGCACUCUGGGACAAGCCCUGGAAACGGGGUCUAAUACCGGAUACUGAUCAUCUUGGGCAUCUUGGAUGAUCGAAAGCUCCGGCGGUGCAGGAUGAGCCCGCGGCCUAUCAGCUUGUUGGUGAGGUAAUGGCUCACCAAGGCGACGACGGGUAGCCGGCCUGAGAGGGCGACCGGCCACACUGGGACUGAGACACGGCCCAGACUCCUACGGGAGGCAGCAGUGGGGAAUAUUGCACAAUGGGCGAAAGCCUGAUGCAGCGACGCCGCGUGAGGGAUGACGGCCUUCGGGUUGUAAACCUCUUUCAGCAGGGAAGAAGCGAAAGUGACGGUACCUGCAGAAGAAGCGCCGGCUAACUACGUGCCAGCAGCCGCGGUAAUACGUAGGGCGCGAGCGUUGUCCGGAAUUAUUGGGCGUAAAGAGCUCGUAGGCGGCUUGUCACGUCGGUUGUGAAAGCCCGGGGCUUAACCCCGGGUCUGCAGUCGAUACGGGCAGGCUAGAGUUCGGUAGGGGAGAUCGGAAUUCCUGGUGUAGCGGUGAAAUGCGCAGAUAUCAGGAGGAACACCGGUGGCGAAGGCGGAUCUCUGGGCCGAUACUGACGCUGAGGAGCGAAAGCGUGGGGAGCGAACAGGAUUAGAUACCCUGGUAGUC
rnacentral:rRNA from 1 species